rnacentral:rRNA from 1 species
UGGGGAAUAUUGCACAAUGGGCGCAAGCCUGAUGCAGCGACGCCGCGUGGGGGAUGACGGCCUUGGGUUGUAAACUCCUUUCGUUGGGGACGAAGCCUUCUUGAAGGUGACGGUACUUGAAGAAGAAGCACCGGCUAACUACGUGCCAA